rnacentral:rRNA from 1 species
AUUGAACGCUGGCGGCAGGCCUAACACAUGCAAGUCGAGCGGCAGAAGGGAGCUUGCUCCUGGUUUCAGCUGCCGACGGGUGAAUAAUGCCUAGGUAUCUGCCUGGCUGUGGGGGCUAACGUCCGGAAACGGGCGCUAAUACCGCAUACGUCCUGACGGCGUACGUGGGGGAUCUUCGGACCUCACGCUAUCAGAUGAGCCUAGGUCGGAUUAGCUAGUUGGUGGGGUAAAGGCCUACCAAGGCGACGAUCCGUAGCUGGUCUGAGAGGAUGAUCAGUCACACUGGAACUGAGACACGGUCCAGACUCCUACGGGAGGCAGCAGUGGGGAAUAUUGGACAAUGGGCGAAAGCCUGAUCCAGCCAUGCCGCGUGUGUGAAGAAGGCCUUCGGAUUGUAAAGCACUUUUAGUUGGGAAGAAGAGCAGUAAGUUAAUACCUCGCUGUUUUGACGGUACCAAAAGAAUAAGCACCGGCUAACUUCGUG